ACUAUUUCCCUACACGCGGCGCGUCUAUGCCGUAACAGUUGCGCAGAGCCCUAUGUUCAGCGUUAAAUUAAAAUUACUAAUACUGAAGUUAGAAUUCCGGGUGCUUGUACUUUUUUAUUGGAAAUUUCUUCCUCUUUAAGAAUCUUUUUAAAAUUUUCGCUAGCGCUUUUACUUUUUGAGUUAUUGCCAAAAACCUGAGGCUUCGUUUUUUCUAGACUAUUAGGCGUCGGUGAACUUGCGUCGCCACACGCAGUGACGGCCAUAGAUAAAUCAAACCGAUGUCUGCUCGUACUAAUGAAUUCCUCAUAUGACAA
rnacentral:lncRNA from 1 species